CCUACGGGUGGCAGCAGUGAGGAAUAUUGGUCAAUGGACGAGAGUCUGAACCAGCCAAGUAGCGUGAAGGAUGACUGCCCUAUGGGUUGUAAACUUCUUUUAUAUGGGAAUAAAACGUUCCACGUGUGGGAUUUUGUAUGUACCAUAUGAAUAAGGAUCGGCUAACUCCGUGCCAGCAGCCGCGGUAAUACGGAGGAUCCGAGCGUUAUCCGGAUUUAUUGGGUUUAAAGGGAGCGUAGGGGGAUUGUUAAGUCAGUUGUGAAAGUUUGCGGCUCAACCGUAAAAUUGCAGUUGAAACUGGCAGUCUUGAGUACAGUAGAGGUGGGCGGAAUUCGUGGUGUAGCGGUGAAAUGCUUAGAUAUCACGAAGAACUCCGAUUGCGAAGGCAGUUCACUGGACUGCAACUGACACUGAGGCUCGAAAGUGUGGGUAUCAAACAGGAUUAGAUACCCUAGUAGUC
rnacentral:rRNA from 1 species